rnacentral:lncRNA from 1 species
UUAUCAGCAAGGAAAUUGCCUUCUUUGGCUAUGAUGAACCAACCUUCUGACAUCAUGUCAGAGAUUAAUUGCUUAAGACCAGAGGGGACUGCUACGACCAUCUAAUCUGCUUUCUUGCAUAGUGUAGACCUUUGAAUGUUCCCUAAAUAACUCAUAUGUGAAGGCCAACGUAUCCCCAAGGAAAAACCCAGUGUGAUUUUAUUGUGAGGGUCCCCCAUGACUCUUAGCACAUUUGCAAUCUGUUAACUGGUUUGUGGUGGUGUUGUUUUUAAUGUGUGCUUUGUUUUUUUGUCUGUUUUUGCUUGUCUUGUCUUUUCGGACAACAGCUAAUCAAAGAUCAGGGAGCUUCAUGUUUUCCCUUUGAAUUGACCUCUGAGUGUCAGAAACUGUGAAUAAGAACCCUUCUUCUUGCAGAUGGCACCGUUUGUUUACUGGUGCUAUGAGUCUUGCAGGCAGUAGGACAAGGAGUCAUAGUUUCAGCAAAGAUGAGGAACAUCCCAUCCCUGUGUGUAACCUGCAUAGUUGAGCUUUCCCAGGGAAGUAGAAGUGUGGUUGAUUCCCCUCAGUCUGAAUCAGAGUUUGGAUUUUAGGUCUGAAAAGAGCUAAAUCUAAAGCUAAAUCACGUUCCUUAUGAACUUUCUAGGGAACCUCUGCUCUUACGUAGGCAGUCUGAAUCAAAAGCAUGGGACCAGGUUUUUAUUUUCCAGGUGUUAGAACACUAAAUUUUAAAUGCUAGCAGUAGGUAGUUGGAAUAGAGUCCAUCCUAUUUUUUCAAAUGUCAUCCCUCUGCUGGUGUUGCAUGAGUAAUAAUUGUGGGGUCUCUGCUGUUUCAAGAAGACUCUGGGGGCUAGAUGAAGAAAAUCACAGGGAAACAAACAAACAAACAAAGGUAAGGAAAUACAACAAUUUUGUAUUCAUACAGCCAGGUUUGCUGAUGCAACUGCUCUUCAUGCAUUUGAAUCACUUCUUCUUUCAGGGCUUUUGCUUACCUAUGAGUCUCAGACAUGGGAUUUUAUCGAUUUUACUCAGUAAAUAUGACCAGUGCGUGGUUACUCCUCAGCAAAGCUCACGGGCUUAA